CCUCAUUUUUAUGCCGUGCCUUCCACACAAUUUUUUGCACUAUAUUUUUUAGAGAGAGAUCUCGCUUCGCCUGCUUGCUCAAUUUCCUCCCAUCUCUCUGAUUUCCUGUGCACUUGCGAUAUAUCUACCAUAAGCUGCUGCUGUGUAUGAGGCCAACGAAUACCUUUGAUCUCGAAUUUGUUCUUAGAUCUUCCCUCUUAGUUCAUCGAUCUCUUUGCAUAUGAGGUAUUUGAGAGUUCCAUCCUGCUACUACGGCACGCAGUGUGUUGAUUACCAAUCAAGAAGAGAAAAUAAUUACGAGAGGAGAUUUUACUAU